rnacentral:rRNA from 1 species
CCUACGGGAGGCAGCAGUGGGGAAUUUUGGACAAUGGGCGAAAGCCUGAUCCAGCAAUGCCGCGUGUGGGAAGAAGGCCUUCGGGUUGUAAACCACUUUUGUACGGAACGAAACGGUCUGCUUUAAUACAGUGGGCUAAUGACGGUACCGUAAGAAUAAGCACCGGCUAACUACGUGCCAGCAGCCGCGGUAAUACGUAGGGUGCGAGCGUUAAUCGGAAUUACUGGGCGUAAAGCGUGCGCAGGCGGUUAUAUAAGACAGUUGUGAAAUCCCCGGGCUCAACCUGGGAAUUGCAUCUGUGACUGUAUAGCUAGAGUACGGUAGAGGGGGAUGGAAUUCCGCGUGUAGCAGUGAAAUGCGUAGAUAUGCGGAGGAACACCGGAUGGCGAAGGCAAUCCCCUGGACCUGUACUGACGCUCAUGCACGAAAGCGUGGGGAGCAAACAGGAUUAGAUACCCUGGUAGUCCACGCCCUAAACGAUGUCAACUGGUUGUUGGGUGCAUUAGUACUCAGUAACGAAGCUAACGCGUGAAGUUGACCGCCUGGGGAAGUCGGCGCAGGUUGAACUUAAAUGAAUUGACGGCUGAGAGNGCGACGACGACGACGAGGGAGAGG